rnacentral:SRP_RNA from 1 species
UCACCGGCCCAGCGCGGUGGCGACCCUCGAACCAGGUCAGAUCGAGAGAAGCAGCCUUAAGGGGUGAUCGUCAGGUGCCGCUGGUCACCGGUGGGGC